AACGGUCUAUACCUGCGGUACCUGCGGAGGGAUCAUUAGUAAUUUUGUGGUCUCUUAAGAGGCUAUAAUCUGAUUUUGUGGUAUAAAUGAAAGAAAUCUUGGGUUUAAAGAUGAUGUGUUUGUAAUGGAUGCAUCGACCCAAAACUUUUAUCAACUCUUUAUUAUUUGACUGAUAUUAUCAAGUUAAUCGAAAGAUUAAAAAAAAGUUUAAAUAACUUUUAACAAUGGAUCUCUAGAUCG
rnacentral:misc_RNA from 1 species